rnacentral:rRNA from 1 species
AUUGAACGCUGGCGGCAGGCCUAACACAUGCAAGUCGAGCGGAGCGCCGGACGGGUACGUAAUGCCUAUGAAUCUGCCUGUGAGUGGGGGAGAACGUUCGCAAACGGGCGCUAAUACCGCUUACUAUCAGAUUAGCCUAGGCGGGAUUGGCUUGCUGGUGUGGUAAAGGCGUACCAAGGCGACGAUCCGUACCUGGUCUGAGAGGAUGAUCAGUCAAACUGGAACUGAGACACGGUCCAGACGCCUACGGGAGGCAGCAGUGGGGAAUAUUGGAAAAUGGGCGAAAGCCUGAUGCAGCCAUGCCGCGUGUGUGAAGAAGGUCUUCGGGUUGUAAAGCACUUUAAGUUGGGAGGCGUUACCCACAGAAGAAGCACCGGCUAACUUCGUGCCAGCAGCCGCGGUAAUAC